UGGGGAAUAUUGGACAAUGGGCGAAAGCCUGAUCCAGCCAUGCCGCGUGUGUGAAGAAGGUCUUCGGAUUGUAAAGCACUUUAAGUUGGGAGGAAGGGCAUUAACCUAAUACGUUAGUGUUUUGACGUUACCGACAGAAUAAGCACCGGCUAACUCUGUGCCAGCAGCCGCGGUAAUACAGAGGGUGCAAGCGUUAAUCGGAAUUACUGGGCGUAAAGCGCGCGUAGGUGGUUUGUUAAGUUGGAUGUGAAAUCCCCGGGCUCAACCUGGGAACUGCAUUCAAAACUGACUGACUAGAGUAUGGUAGAGGGUGGUGGAAUUUCCUGUGUAGCGGUGAAAUGCGUAGAUAUAGGAAGGAACACCAGUGGCGAAGGCGAUCACCUGGACUAAUACUGACACUGAGGUGCGAAAGCGUGGGGAGCAAACA
rnacentral:rRNA from 1 species